AUGGAGGGCGGCCGGAUGUCGGACGCGCCGGCGAGCCCGCCGGGCGGCUGAGGAGGCGGCUUCGGCGGUGUCAGGGAGCAGGACAGGUUCCUGCUCAUAGCCAACAUCAUCAGCAUCAAGAAGAAGGCCAUCUCGGCCAACUGCAAGAUCGCCAAGCACGCCAAGGAGACCGUGCAUGAGUGCGUCUCCGAGUAUGUUGCUUCAUCGCCAGCGACUGAGGCGAGCGAUAAGUGCCAGAGGGAGAAGCGCAAGACCAUCAACGUCGAUGACCUGAUCUGGGCGAUGGCCACGCCAGGCUUUUAGGAGUACAUUGAGCCCUUCAAGGUUUAUCUGUAGAAGUACAAACACGUGCGUGCCCAUUUAGCCAUGUAG
rnacentral:rRNA from 1 species